AUCUGACUUGCAGUAUUGUAGUCAAUGAAAGGAAGAUGCAUGAGGUGUUGACAAGCAUUUGGUAAAUCAUAGUAACAAUUAAUUUAACUGGAAUCAGAUUAUGGCUGAAUAUUGCCAACUGAUGUCCUAAGCACAGUCCAACAAAGGCACUCCUAAUUUCUUCCAUUGCUUAAUUGACAAGAUAUUAAGACUCAAUAUCUGUUGUGCGCCUUUGGCGUUGAGUCAUGCUGGCCACAUGACCACGGAGACGUCUUCGGACACCGCUGGCUCUUCAGCUUUGAAACGGAGAUGAGCACCGCCCCCUAGACUCGGCAACGACUAGCAUAGACGGAGACCAGAAGAAUUGGAAAGCAAGUCUGCAGAUAGCUGGAGUACAGAGCCCUUGGUGGUGCUGGAGACUACUGUAUGUUGGAGAAGGAGCUGGCAUCUCUGAACCUAGAGUAUAUCAAGUUCCCAAAGGUUGGCAGAAGCUGGGACAAGGAACCGGAGCUCACCCCGUUAUGCAGCGCUAGGGAUUCGAACCGCUGAACUGCCGACCUUUCGAUUGACAAGCUCAGCAUCUCUUACCCACUAAGCCGCCACGUCCCUUACAGUAUGCAGGGGCAUUCACAGAAGAUUCAAAAAUCUCAAAACAGUAGCUGCAACUGUAGCAUUGAAGACCCUGCUCCAUUUUAUAUGCAAUGUUUUAUACUCCCAUCCCCUACAUCUGGUUAAGGUUGAAUCAGUUUCUGUCUGCAGCUUUUGAAAUAAAGACUUUUCCACAACAGUCCUUUGAGUUUUUUCCUAUUUGUUCCAAGCUCCCAGUCAUUUGCUUUGUCAAUGUGGAACCUUAUGUCAACAGAUUACAAGAAGUCCUUGACUUACAACCAUAACUGAGCCCAACAUUUCUGUUGCUAAGCAAGAUGUUUGUGAGUUUUGCCCCAU